rnacentral:rRNA from 1 species
CCUACGGGAGGCUGCAGUGGGGGAUUUUGCACAAUGGGGGGAACCCUGAUGCAGCGACGCCGCGUGGGUGAAGAAGCGCCUCGGCGCGUAAAGCUCUGUCAGCAGGGAAGAAAAUGACGGUACGUGAAGGAGAAGCCCCGGCUAACUACGUGCCAGCAGCCGCGGUAAUACGUAGGGGGCAAGCGUUAUCCGGAUUCACUGGGCGUAAAGGGGGCGCGGACGGGGAAGCAAGCCAGGAGUGAAAGCCCGGGGCCCAACCCCGGGACUGCUCUUGGAACUGUGUGACUGGAGUGCAGGAGGGGCAGGUGGAAUUCCUGGUGUAGCGGUGAAAUGCGUAGAUAUCAGGAGGAACACCGGUGGCGAAGGCGGCCUGCUGGACUGCAACUGACGUUGAGGCCCGAAAGCGUGGGGAGCAAACAGGAUUAGAUACCCGUGUAGUC